AACUAACAAGGAUUCCCCUAGUAACUGCGAGUGAAGCGGGAAAAGCUCAAAUUUAAAAUCUGGCAGUCUUUGGCUGUCCGAGUUGUAAUCUAGAGAAGUAUUAUCCGCGCUGGACCGUGUACAAGUCUCCUGGAAUGGGGCGUCAUAGAGGGUGAGAAUCCCGUCUUUGACACGGACUGCCAGGGCUUUGUGAUGUGCUCUCAAAGAGUCGAGUUGUUUGGGAAUGCAGCUCAAAAUGGGUGGUAAAUUCCAUCUAAAGCUAAAUAUUGGCGAGAGACCGAUAGCGAACAAGUACCGUGAGGGAAAGAUGAAAAGAACUUUGGAAAGAGAGUUAAACAGUACGUGAAAUUGCUGAAAGGGAAACGCUUGAAGUCAGUCGCGUUGGCCAGGGAUCAACCUUGCUUUUUUGCUUGGCUUACUUUCUGGUCGAUGGGUCAGCAUCAAUUUUGACUGGUGGAAAAAGUUCAAGGGAAUGUGGCAUCUUCGGAUGUGUUAUAGCCUUUGUUCGCAUACAUUGGUUGGGAUUGAGGAACUCAGCACGCCGCAAGGCCGGGUUUUUAACCACGUACGUGCUUAGGAUGCUGGCAUAAUGGCUUUAAUCGACCCGUCUUGAAACACGGACCAAGGAGUCUAACAUGCCUGCGAGUGUUUGGGUGAAAAACCCGAGCGCGUAAUGAAAGUGAAAGUUGAGAUCCCUGUCGUGGGGAGCAUUGACGCCCGGAUCUGACCUUUUGUGACGAUUCUGCGGUAGAGCAUGUAUGUUGGGACCCGAAAGAUGGUGAACUAUGCCUGAAUAGGGUGAAGCCAGAGGAAACUCUGGUGGAGGCUCGUAGCGAUUCUGACGUGCAAAUCGAUCGUCAAAUUUGGGUAUAGGGGCGAAAGACUAAUCGAACCAUCUAGUAGCUGGUC
rnacentral:rRNA from 1 species